rnacentral:rRNA from 1 species
UACGUAGGGUGCAAGCGUUAAUCGGAAUUACUGGGCGUAAAGCGUGCGCAGGCGGUUUUGUAAGGCAGGUGUGAAAUCCCCGGGCUCAACCCGGGAACUGCGUCCGAUACUGGAAGGCUUGAAUCCGGGAGAGGGAUGCGGAAUUCCAGGUGUAGCGGUGGAAUGCGUAGAGAUCCGGAAGAACACCGGUGGCGAAGGCGGCCUGCUGGGCAGUGGCUGACACUGAGGCGCGACAGCGUGGGGAGCAAACAGG